AUGGCCUGGACUCCUGUCCUCUUUGUGCUCCACUCUCAUUGCACAGGUUCCCUGUCACAGGCUGUGAGGACACACUCCUCCUUCCUCUCUGCACCUUUGGGAUCAUCAACCAGACUCACCUGCAUCCUUCCCAGGGCCUGAAUGUUGGCAGGUACUGAACACACUGGUACCAGCAGAAGCCAGGGAGCCCUCCCUGUUACCUCCUGUACUACUACUCAGAAUCAGAUAAACACCAUGGCUCCGGGAUCACCAGCUGCUUCCCUGGCCCUAUGGACACCUCGGCCAAUGCAGGGCUCCUGCUCAUCUCAGGGCUGCAGCCUGAGGACGAGGCUGACUACUACUGCGGUAUACUCCACAGCAGUGGGAGCAGCUACUCUUACCCACAGUGUCUCAGAAAAUGA